UGCUAGGGACGCAGCAGUGGGGAAUAUUGCACAAUGGGGGAAACCCUGAUGCAGCGACGCCGCGUGAGUGAAGAAGUAUUUCGGUAUGUAAAGCUCUAUCAGCAGGGAAGAAAAUGACGGUACCUGACUAAGAAGCCCCGGCUAACUACGUGCCAGCAGCCGCGGUAAUACGUAGGGGGCAAGCGUUAUCCGGAUUUACUGGGUGUAAAGGGAGCGUAGACGGCGCUGAAAGUCCGGAGUGAAAGCCCAUGGCUUAACCAUGGUACUGCUCUGGAAACUGUGGAGCUUGAGUGCGGGAGGGGCAG
rnacentral:rRNA from 1 species